rnacentral:lncRNA from 1 species
UUACAGAACCUCAAGGUAAAGGGUAUGUGGUUUGAGAAGGGAAAUAUGCAAGUCCAUAGUGUAUGGUAUGAGCUCAACAGAUUACCUGAUUAGGCCUCAUCAGUUUUUAGGUGUGACCACUGAGACCUGGGGUUUAGUGUGGCGUGGCUUCUGUAGGCUUCUGAGAAGUAGAUUCAGAAUUCAAGCAAACUGCAUUAGCCCAUCCGAUACUUUUCCUUUUUGAAGUUGAAGGGUUUUAAGAGUCUUAACUUCUCAUUUAUUAAGUAACAGAAGGGAAAUAGUAGGAGCCAGAUAGUGAAUUGAUAAUAUGUGGGUAGGGAGGAUAGCUAGGGGUGGGAGCCUAAGGAUUUGGGACAAGAGGGAAAGAUGAUCCAUCUGGAAUCUGUUUCAGAGAAGAAAAAGCUGCAUAGUGCUUUGAAGACAUUGAGCAUCAUUCCAAGAAGAAACAUGAUCUCAGCAGUCAUCUUCAAAUCACCCCCAAUCCUGCCCCCAUCUUGUUGAGAAAGCAUAGCCCCACUUUUACCUAUUUAAUGCUGGUUCUAUAUAUUUCGUGUGUGUGUGUGUGUGUGUGUGCACGCACGUGCAGCAAGCUGAAACAUUGAGUAAGGGAACAUUCAUUUAGUUAGCUAGAGCAGAGUAGAAGGGAGUGUUUUUCUUUGUUAUUGGAAUGUGGUGCCAAGGGAAGCAGCAGAGGGGGAGGUACUUGGGAAGGAGCAGCAUGGGGGAAGGAUGCAUAUCCUGUAGAAUCAGUGGUCACAGGUUUUUAUAAAACAUCAACUGUUCCCCACCCCACCCCCAGUGAUAGUUGUAGUUCUAUUGCCUAGCCCUAUCUAACAAGUAUUGUGGUUAGUAGCAGUGACUUUGAGGAAAAAAUUACUCUUUUGCAACUUCCCAUUUCACUUCCAACUUGGUCAGUAUGCUAAGUAAGAAGUUCCAAGUUGUGAUGGCAAAAUUAUUAUAUCCAGACUUACUCUCUUCCCCUUCCCUAGCUUCUAGUGCCUUAUUUGGUUUGAUGUGCUCCUGUGUCCUAUCAGUGCUUUCUGAGUACUUUUAUGUUCAGUUUCUGGGUUGAUGGGAUAAGAGAGAGAGUAAGGCUAAAAUGGGGAAGUUGGGCUUUGUUAAAAUCUUAAUGAUUUCUUGUGGAUUUCACAUUUCAGAAGAUACUAUUAUACAACUAAAGAUAUUAGGGACCCUCUGCUUCAACAACUUGGCUUUAAGUAUCCCUCAUUUCCCAUGUUUUACACUUGAUAUGUUUAAGAAAAGUUAACUGAAUAGUUUCAUUGAUCCCAGAACUAUAUUCACCCCAAAGAGGAAGCCAAUCCUUUUCAAAAAAGACGCAAAUACCUCCAUAAGAUGAUAAAUACCAAUGUCCAUUUUCUCCCCAGGGAAUAGUACACCAUUUAAACUAGGCCCUUAGUCACCUAUAUGUAGUACCGGUGAAACUCCAGGUGUCCCUUUUUAUGGAAACUAGAAAGGGUAUCUUUAUCUUAAUCCUGCUUCUCAGAAGCUUCUGCUUUGCACUGUGGGGCAAGUGCCCCAACACAUGCUACUAUUCUGAUCUCUUCAUGUUUAUUUUGGGGAUUUGUUGCAUAUUAGAUUUUAAGUUAGUACAGUAGUGCAGUUUGUAUUUUGAGUUAGGGGGUCUUAUCUGGGAUUCCAAAAUAAAAGAUUUAAGAAAUUCCAUGUCUUGUUAGGACCAAGUAUGUGGUAAAGAUUGUAGCGUGAUGAUUUUGUACCAGAAGGAUUCUUGUGUUCGUCAACCUCAAUGUCUGCAAAAAGUUUUUCCAAUGAAGAGAACAAAGAAUACCCCUCAAUUCAUCUGGAGGAGGAAUGAGCCUGAAAAUAGCGCCCUCUGCUUGUGCUGCACAUAGCCAAAUCAGCUCUAUGAUGCCCAGAAACAUUGAGAAAGGUAAUCCCCGUACACUGCCAGAUGGAAUGGCCAGUGCAACUAGUGUUAAGUUAUCAGUCUUUUGAUUGGAUGAGAUAUUUAUUUUACUCAGUUUUUAGGGCCCUGAAAGCUUCCUUUGCACUUACCAGUUCAAAUUCCUACACUACCACAUGUUAAAAAUAGUCAAGAAAACAGUGAUUUAUUUUAGCUUCUAAAGUUACAUAGUGGCACUGGUAAAUGAACCUACUUCAAAAUCUUUUAAUUUAGACCCUAGCUCAUAAAAUGUUUUCAACCAAAAAGGAUUGGGUUUUAUGCAUGGGGUACUACAUGUAGUCUGGGGGGUGCUUUCCCACAAGUGGGGGGGAAUAAAUACUUUUUUCUGUGUCCUUGGAGUGAGGGUGGGAUCCACGUAUAUACUUACCUGUUUGGCUGUCUGCAUAAUGCGAAGGAGCCCCAUGUUGCAGCACAGAAGAUUUUUCAUCGUUGGAUGUUAAGGUUAGUUUUCUUUCAUUGGUCCUUCUCUAACUUGGACUAAAGUGUGUAAUGUAGAAAUACAUAGGUGUCCAUGUUAUUUUAACAUAGAAAUCUGGGACUUAUCAGAAUAUUAAGUGUUCUGUGACAGCUAAUAAAAAAUCCAGAAUUGCCUAAUUAUAGCACUUAAUAAAGUGUUAACUAAGAUGAACUAGACAGCAGAACUUUGGAUGAGUGUUUACCAUCACUAUCAGAAAAUACACAACAGUACUAAAUCCUAAAAAGUUGAUGGAUUUUUUUUUUUUUUUUUAAAUAGAAAGUCUUUGCUAUCUUGUCCAGACUGGCCUCUAUCUCAUGGCCUCCUACCUUAGUGUUGCUUGGAAUGCAGGUGCACUCCACUGCUUACUUUAUUGGAAUUCUUAAUGAUUUGUGCCCAUUUUUACUUGCUUUCUGAAAAAGUUCUGAUAUAAUUUUUUUCUGGUACGGAGUGCUCCUGCUCUUGGGGAACCAUAUGUUUGCCUAUUGGUGAAAUGAUAGAUCUAAGGGUAAUUUUUCUGCAAGUGGGCACGAGAUUGUUUAUUAAGAGCAGUAAAAUUUUUUGCCUCUUUGCCAACUGGGUACCAUCUGUUGUGGUUCUGAAACUUCCCUUGGUUGGCUAGUUCAUAUUUGAACCAGUUAAUAAUUCUACUAUGUUAAGUGACUUACUGUUGUCAAACAGUCUGUCGAGGACAUAAGGUUAAACAGGCUAAGACUUAACGCUGGUAGUAUAGCUAAGAUUUCUUACCAGUUUUUCAUAAAUACUUGUGAAAUAUUUUGGCUCCUAAAGAGGAAUAUUGCUGCCCUAUCCUGUUUUAAUCAUUGUGCAUCUGCCCCUCCAAUGUAUUUAAAGGAUACUACAGUACACGCUGCUUUGCUACAGAAUUGCCAAUAUACACUGUUGGAGAACUACUAUCCUGAAGUAGGGUAAAUAACUUUAAAAAGUUAAUACUCUACUUUCUAGCUUCAUUGAUAUUUCAAAUUGGAUUUAAACCCAAUUGACAGCUAAACUAGGCAAAUGGAGUAUUCUGGAGUAGGAUUAUAAUGAGUUUUCCAUUUUUGACUCCUGUGUGUAUGGAAACAAUGGAAUACUUUCAAAUACAGUUGCAUGGGUUUAGCUUUUAGAAAUAACUUGUAUAGAAGUGUCUUCUGAAGUUUAAAUCCAGUGUGUUUAGCAGUACAUUGUUUUACUAGUAAUAAAACCAAAAGGGCUUACUUUCAGGAGAUGCAUGUUCAUACUCAUUUGUACAUAGUGAUUGUCUAGUCAUACUACCUUUCUAGGUGCACUGUCCUUCAUUUACAUUUAACUAAUCCAUCUAGCUAGUAGGCAUUUUUAUUUCCAUCCUGUGCAAUAAAUUUGCUCAAUAAGAUGAAAGAUUUGCCUGUUUUUUGUUUUUGUUUCUCCUUUAGUACUAGAGAUUGAACCCAGGAUAGCUUUACCACUGAGGUACAUCCCCGACCUUUUAAAAAAAUUUACUUUGCGACAAUCUUGCUAAGAAAUUUAGGCUGGCCUCAAACUUGUGAUCUUCCUGUCUUAGCCUCCCAAGCUUCUGGGAUUACAGGCAUAUGCCACCAUGCUCAUAUUGGCACCUGGUUUUGAAAUGGUAAACUACUAAUAGGAUCAUUCAUAGUCCCUAUUGUAAGUUUCAUUACCAUAUGUCAGUUUUGUGUGGGAUAUUUAGUCUUGUAAUUUGAGAAACUGAUAAUGGAUACACAUCAAACUUGGUUACCUAUACUUUGUCAAAUGUGUUAUCAACAUUUGUGUUACUAAUGUAAAGUCUUAAAUUUAGCCAACUACAUUCUACAGAUUAUACAAAGAACUCUCUAAUUUCUCAGUUGCCACAUUAGGGAGGACAUUGUUUGCAAAUUUCUAAUACUUAAAAAUCACAAUGUAUUAGGUUUCUUCUCUUCCAUGGUCUUUUUUGUUGUUGUUUCUUUAUUCUGGAGUUU